rnacentral:rRNA from 1 species
GUCGAAGAGAGAAUGAAUCGGCCCAACUGGUACUGAGAACGCAUCUAGUCUACGGAGGCAGCAAGUGAGGAAUAUUGCACAAUUGGGCAAUCCCUGAAUGCAGCUCGCCGCGUGAAGAAUGACGCAUUCGGUUGGGAAAACUCCUUUUAUAAUGUCAAAGAAAUGACGUAAGCAUAUGAAUAAGCACCGGCUACUCCGUGCAGCAGCCGCGGUAAUAACGGAGGGUGCAAGCGUUAUUCGGAAUCACUGGGCGUAAAGGAACGCGUAGGCCGGGUUGUAAGUCAGGUGUGAAAUCCUACAGCUUAACUGUAGAACUGCACUUGAAACUACUGACCUAGAGUAUGGGAGGGGGAGAUGGAAAUUAGUGGUGUAGGGGUAAAAUCCGUAGAUAUCACUAGGAAUACCGAAAGCGAAGGCGAUCUCCUGGAACAUUACUGACGCUAAGGCGUGAAAGCGUGGGGAGCAAACAGGAUUAGAUACCCUGGUAGUCCACGCCCUAAACGAUGAACACUAGUCGUCGGGGAGCUAGUCUCUUCGGUGACGCACUUAACAGAUUAAGUGUUCCGCCUGGGGAGUACGGUCGCAAGAUUAAAACUCAAAGGAAUAGACGGGGACCCGCACAAGUGGUGGAGCAUGUGGUUUAAUUCGAAGAUACGCGAAGAACCUUACCUAGCCUUGACAUUGAAAGAACACCCUAGAGAUAGAGUGGUGCCCUUCGGGGAGCUUGAAAACAGGUGCUGCACGGCUGUCGUCAGCUCGUGUCGUGAGAUGUUGGGUUAAGUCCCGCAACGAGCGCAACCCUCGUCCUUAGUUGCCAGCAGUUCGGCUGGGCACUCUAAGGAGACUGCCUUCGCAAGGAGGAGGAAGGUGAGGACGACGUCAAGUCAUCAUGGCCCUUAUGGCUAGGGCUACACACGUGCUACAAUGGGGCGUACAGAGAGUUGCGAUACCGCGAGGUGGAGCCAAUCUCAUAAAGCGUCUCUCAGUUCGGAUUGGAGUCUGCAACUCGACUCCAUGAAGCUGGAAUCACUAGUAAUCGUAGAUCAGCAAUGCUACGGUGAAUACGUUCCCGGGUCUUGUACUCACCGCCCGUCACACCAUGGGAGUUGAUUUCACCCGAAAUUGGGAAGCUAACCUUCGGGAGGCUACCACUUACGGUGGAAUUAGCGACUGGGGUGAAGUCGUAACAAGGU